CUGAUUACGAAAGAGAAACAGUAAGUGGAAAUUAGUGGAAAUAUUAGUAGAAGCGAAGAAAUUAAAAAACUCAUCCUUUUUUGAGAUGAAACAGUAACUCAAAUUGAUUUCGGUUCGAUCAAAUGUAGAGUUAAGUAGACUUUAGAGCAUCUCCAAAGUAAAACUCUAUAUUUUUUUAAAAAAUAGAGUAAAAAUAAAUAUGAAGUAAAAAUGCUUCAAUUCUAUUUCAUUUAUUACUCCAUAAUAGAGUGAUGAACAAACAAAAAAA
rnacentral:lncRNA from 1 species